rnacentral:sRNA from 1 species
AGGUGCAGGCUGGGGGCAGAGGAGAGGGAAGGGGAUUAGGUGCUGGGGCCGGGGAACCGAGACCCAGGGUGUCACCGCUGACAGCAGCGGGGCCCGCAGAGCUGCAGGGAGACGGAGCCGCGCCCCCGCGGCGCCGACACUGCCAUCUGGCUAGAGGGCCCCACUCUUUCUUUAACCAGAGGUCACAGCCUCAUUGCCUACCCAGGAGGCAGCCCCGAGACGCCCCCUGCGGCCUGGGUUUUCUCCACCCUGUCCCCGCGCCCACCCCAGCUCUGCCAUCCCCGGCUGCACCGCUUUGUAAAGGGGACGGCUGGUCAGACCGAAUCUGGGUCGGGCCUGGAGACUGGAUCUGGGGCUUCCGGAGAGUCCCAGGCUCCCCGCGCGCCCAUCCACCCGCCGACGCCUGAGCAUUUAUGGUGAGGGGAAACUGAGUCCCAGGGUAGGUUCCAGAGUGAAGAGGGAAGAAACAUGAUUCUCAAGGCCCAGGUCUGGACAAGUGUGAACACCUUGAGCUUGUGAAUUCAGCCCCCUCCUUCCUUUCUCUGGUCAAAGGCUAGACUUGCAGGAGCUUGGGUUUGAAGGGACAGCCCAGAAGGCAUCGUCUCCACUCCCCAUAUAGGUGUGCCCGGAGAGGCUGAGCAGCCUGCGCCUGAGCUGGUGGAGGUUGAAGUGGGCAGCACAGCCCUUCUGAAGUGCGGCCUCUCCCAGUCCCAAGGCGACCUCAGCCAUGUCGACUGGUUUUCUGUCCACAAGGAGAAGCGGACGCUCAUCUUCCGUGUGCGGCAGGGCCAGGGCCAGAGCGAACGUGGGGAGUACGAGCAGCGGCUCAGCCUCCAGGACAGAGGGGCUACUCUGGCCCUGACUCAAGUCACCCCCCACGACGAGCGCAUCU